rnacentral:rRNA from 1 species
CUCAAAUUUGAAAUCUGGCCCUUUCGGGUCCGAGUUGUAAUUUGUAGAGGAUGCUUUUGGCAAGGCGCCGCCCGAWUUCCCUGGAACGGGACGCCACAGAGGGUGAGAGCCCCGUCUGGCUGGCCGCCGAGCCUCUGUAAAGCUCCUUCGACGAGUCGAGUAGUUUGGGAAUGCUGCUCAAAAUGGGAGGUAUAUGUCUUCUAAAGCUAAAUAUUGGCCAGARACCGAUAGCGCACAAGUAGAGUGAUCGAAAGAUGAAAAGCACCUUGAAAAGAGGGUUAAAUAGUACGUGAAAUUGUUGAAAGGGAAGCGCUUGURACCAGACUUGGGCGCGGCGGAUCAUCCGGGGUUCUCCCCGGUGCACUUCGCCGCGUCCAGGCCAGCAUCAGUUCGUCGCGGGGGAAAAARGCUUCGGGAACGUGGCUCCCCUGGGAGUGUUAUAGCCCGUUGCGUAAUACCCUGCGGUGGACUGAGGACCGCGCAUCUGCAAGGAUGCUGGCGUAAUGGUCACCAGCGACCCGUCUUGAAACACGGACCAAGGAGUCGUCUUCGUAU